AUGGCAAAACUAAUGGCGCGGCUAGACAUGUUCUUGGUCCUCCUCUUCGUUGUCGAAACAGAGGCCAUCUCGGCCAAGCGAGUGAAGUGCAAAUCCGGAUUGCAUGGCCAACGGCUACUACAGUUGUCUUAUAGGAUGUCCUCAAACUUGUACCAUGAACUGCGAGACAUGCGCCCUGGUCUGUCCGAGGACUCUCCCACUCUGGCAUCGCCCCUCCACCACCGCCCAAGAAAUCGCCCCUGCGAAAGUCGCCCUAUUAUUCCCCUCUGCCACCACGUUCUCCGGCGCCGGAAGAGAGCGAGGUACAAGGACAAGAAGUACCCUCUUUGCUAUGGCGAUGAGUUCGCUUGCCCUGCUAGUAGCCCCACUCAGUGUGAAGUGGAUUGUGUCACCUGCGGCCCCGUUUGCAGUUGUGACCGACCAGGCACGGUCUGUCAAGACCCGAGAUUCAUCGGCGGUGACGGCAUAACCUUCUACUUCCACAGCAAAAAGGACCAGGACUUUUGCCUGGUUUCCGACUCCAACAUCCACAUCAAGGCUCACUUCAUUGGAAGAAGAAACCAAGAUAUGAAGAGAGACUUCACAUGGGUCCAAUCUCUAGGAAUCCUCUUCGACAUGCGCCGGCUCUUCAUUGGAGCCAAGAAGACGUCGACUUGGGACAACUCUGUGGACCGCCUAUCCAAAGCCUUUGAUGGACAGAUCUUAUAUCUCCCUGAAGCCGAGGGCGCAAAGUGGCAAUCCGAAUCGUCACCCGAGGUAUAUCCAUCAUGAGGUUACGCAACACCAAUGCCGUGGAGAUUGAAGUGAAAGGGAACCUCAAGAUCAAAGCCAUCGUGGUGCCGAUUACUGAGAAAGACUCGUUGAUUCGUAACUAUGGCAUUACACAGGAGGAUUGCUAUGCACAUCUAGACCUGAGCUUCAAAUUCUAUUCGCUGCACGCUGACGUCAGUGGCGUUUUGGGCCAGACUUACGCUAAGAACUACGUGAGCAGGGUCAAGAUGGGAGUGGCGAUGCCGGUUUUGGGCUGUGAGGGGGAAUUCGCCUCCACGGGUCUCUUCGCGACUGACUGUGCCGUCACCCAGGUCGUUGGCAAGCUGAGCCCGAGCGACUCGACCAAGAAUCUCGAGUACAGCGGCCUCAACUGCACCGGCGGAGGAGAUGACCGUGGGCUUGUCUGCAAAAAAGCAAAGGUCGGAGCAGAAGCAAUGAAGCAGAACAAAAAUGAAGCUUCACCGGAACUUCACCGACCAAUGUAG